rnacentral:rRNA from 1 species
UGACAUACCUAUUUGUUGCCUCGGCGGUGCCUGUUCCGACAGCCCGCCAGAGGACCCCAAACCCUGAUUACAUUUAAGAAGUCUUCUGAGUAAACCGAUUAAAUAAAUCAAAACUUUCAACAACGGAUCUCUUGGUUCUGGCAUCGAUGAAGAACGCAGCGAAAUGCGAUAAGUAAUGUGAAUUGCAGAAUUCAGUGAAUCAUCGAAUCUUUGAACGCACAUUGCGCCCGCUAGUAUUCUGGCGGGCAUGCCUGUCCGAGCGUCAUUUCAACCCUCAAGCCCCCGGGCUUGGUGUUGGGGAUCGGCGAGCCUCCGCGCCCGCCGUCCCCUAAAUCUAGUGGCGGUCUCGCUGUAGCUUCCUCUGCGUAGUAGCACACCUCGCACUGGGAAACAGCGCGGCCACGCCGUUAAACCCCCAACUUCUGAACGUUUGACCUCGGAUCAGGUAGGAAUACCCGCUGAACUUAAGCAUAUCA